rnacentral:piRNA from 1 species
UACAAGCUAUUGUAGCUCUCUUGGUCC